rnacentral:rRNA from 1 species
GACGUAGGAUGCAAGCGUUGUCCGGAUUUAUUGGGCGUAAAGAGUUCGUAGGUGGUUUGUUAAGUCUGAUGUUAAAGCCUGGGGCUCAACCUCGGAAAUGCAUUGGAUACUGGCAGACUUGAGUGUGGUAGAGGCAAUCGGAAUUCCAGGUGUAGCGGUGAAAUGCGUAGAUAUCUGGAAGAACACCGGUGGCGCAAGCGGAUGGCGGGGCCAUAACUGACACUGAGGAACGAAAGCUAGGGGAGCGAAUGGG